rnacentral:rRNA from 1 species
UACGUAGGGUCCGAGCGUUGUCCGGAAUUAUUGGGCGUAAAGAGCUCGUAGGCGGUUUGUCGCGUCUGCCGUGAAAGUCCGGGGCUCAACUCCGGAUCUGCGGUGGGUACGGGCAGACUAGAGUGAUGUAGGGGAGACUGGAAUUCCUGGUGUAGCGGUGAAAUGCGCAGAUAUCAGGAGGAACACCAAUGGCGAAGGCAGCACUCUGGGACGGUACUGACGCUGAGGAGCGAAAGCGUGGGGAGCAAACAGG